UACGUAGGGGGCAAGCGUUGUCCGGAAUCAUUGGGCGUAAAGCGCGUGUAGGCGGUCCGGUAAGUCCGCUGUGAAAGCCGGGGGCUCAACCCUCGGAUGCCGGUGGAUACUGUCGGGCUUGAGUACGGAAGAGGCGAGUGGAAUUCCUGGUGUAGCGGUGAAAUGCGCAGAUAUCAGGAGGAACACCAAUUGCGAAGGCAGCUCGCUGGGACGUUACUGACGCUGAGACGCGAAAGCGUGGGGAGCAAACAGG
rnacentral:rRNA from 1 species